GAUGAACGCUGGCGGCGUGCUUAAUACAUGCAAGUCGAACGAAGCACCUUGGACAGAAUCCUUCGGGAGGAAGACCAUUGUGACUGAGUGGCGGACGGGUGAGUAACGCGUGGGUAACCUGCCUUGUACAGGGGGAUAACAGUUGGAAACGACUGCUAAUACCGCAUAAGCGCACAGUACCGCAUGGUACGGUGUGAAAAACUCCGGUGGUACAAGAUGGGCCCGCGUCUGAUUAGCUGGUUGGUGAGGUAACGGCCCACCAAGGCGACGAUCAGUAGCCGACUUGAGAGAGUGAUCGGCCACAUUGGGACUGAGACACGGCCCAAACUCCUACGGGAGGCAGCAGUAGGGAAUAUUGCGCAAUGGGGGGAACCCUGAUGCAGCGACGCCGCGUGAAGGAAGAAGUAUUUCGGUAUGUAAACUUCUAUCAGCAAGGAAGAAAAUGACGGUACUUGACUAAGAAGCCCCGGCUAAAUACGUGCCAGCCGCCGCGGUAAAAC
rnacentral:rRNA from 1 species